ensembl:processed_transcript Gm14233 predicted gene 14233
UUUAAACAAGUGAUUAGCAAAAAAUGCAUUAAAGUUUUAAAAUAGCAAUUAAAUAUACAAAAAUAUAGCUUACAAAAACCAAUGUUUAAAAAUAUUCUGCUGCAGAAUUCUUAGUGUACAAACACGUCUAUGAAACCUGAGGCUCAGCAUUUCAUAAACCUUUUUUGAGGGAGUUGUAUCUAGUAAAUAAGCCCCAUAGGGCUAAACGACAAGACUAAAGUGCCAUUCCUCCACCUUCCUGGACAUGUCAGCAGGCAGAGGCAAUGGCCCCAAGCCGUCACCUUCUCCACCACAGCCUGGAAGGAGAGGCAUGGACGGCGCUGAGGGUUCAACCACACGAGGCCCUUAACACUGGUGCGACUGGUUAGGGCUGGGGGGCAAGCUUUUGUCAUCCUGGAGAAGGUAGGGAAAGCAGCUGUGCUGUUUUAUUAGGGAUACU